rnacentral:rRNA from 1 species
UACGUAGGGUGCAAGCGUUGUCCGGAAUUAUUGGGCGUAAAGAGCUCGUAGGCGGUCUGUCGCGUCUGCUGUGAAAACUCAGGGCUUAACCCUGAGCUUGCAGUGGGUACGGGCAGACUAGAGUGUGGUAGGGGAGACUGGAAUUCCUGGUGUAGCGGUGAAAUGCGCAGAUAUCAGGAGGAACACCGAUGGCGAAGGCAGGUCUCUGGGCCACUACUGACGCUGAGAAGCGAAAGCAUGGGGAGCGAACAGG